rnacentral:lncRNA from 1 species
CUCACAAGUGUUCUUGGCAGUUGUGAUUGCUUGUUUUACUUAUUCCGAAAGAAACCUCCUAGAAUAAAUCCGUAUAAGGGGAUUCGAAUAUGGGGAAUGACUAGUUGCUUAAGCGUUUACAUUAGGGUCACACAAUCAAUUACCUCCUGCAUGUAUCGUCUCUAUUUCCAAUAUCUGAACACACAAGGAAACUAUAAUCUCUUCCUUCACCUUAUCGGUCUCUUCUUUAUAACAAUUCAAUCAUACCAAUAACUGCUA